rnacentral:lncRNA from 1 species
CCAGAGUUCACAUUCCAGCUGCGCCCCUGUUAGCUGUGGACCUUAGAUGUUACUUUACAGGCGUCUCAGUCUCUUAACCUGCGAAAUGGGAGAGUAAUGCUAACUUUAAAUGAUUGUUGUGAGAAUGAAAGUACCCUAGGCAUCCCAAGUCCACAGCGAGGACUCUAUAAAUGGCAUUCAUUUACUGUGGCCCGCUGGUGUGGGAUUUCAUUGAAAUGUGGGCAUUUUAAAGCAACCUGAGGAAGAGAGAAUCUUUUCCCUUACCUCUGUUCCUCCACUUUGAUUCCUAACCCAGGGAAAUAGAAACACGUUCCAUCAAAUUGCCAAAGCCCCAAGGGUCAUCCCCCCCCCAGCCCUUCCCAUCCAAAUGGCCACGGUUCCAGUGAUUCUAUCUUCUGCCUUUCUUCUAUUAUAAGCUGCCCUUGAAAUUUUUAAGUGAUUACAUGAACCUCUUAACUGCUCCCUCAGCUUAUUCCCCCCGCACCCCGCUCCCAAUCUCCAGAUGUUUAUGUACUCAGGUCCUGGUCCAGAUGAAAAUCCUUUAGUAGCUCUCCAUUGCCUUUGAGGGCACAGCACUGAUUUCCACUUGUGGCCCCACGGCCCUUCAUGAUCUGUCCUGCCUUCUGUCCAACUUCUGUUCCUGCCACCAUCCUGUGUUGCACCUGCUGGCCGUGCUGAACCACAUUGCACAUAUUCCAGGUUCUCUCACACCUCACUAAGUAUCACUACAUCUGUUUUUCCAAUAAGACUCUGAGCUCCUCAACUCUCCUUGGGCAUCUCCGGGGGGCCUGGUCUGUGGCAGGCUCCCAGUAGGAGGCUCUCCUGAUAAAGUGUAACAUUGCUGGGCAUGGCCAAUCGGGGUUCUUUAUAUCCUCACACCUCUAUGGGGUAGAGACGCUUCAUCCAUCCAUUCAGCUGUAUUUUUUUUUUUUUUUUGUCUUUUUGCCUUUUCUAGGGCCGCUCCCAUACCUGGGAACCCCAUAUGUCGUGGGUGCAGGCCUAAAAAAACAAAAGCCAAAAUAAUGAAAAUAAUAAUUACACCAAGGCAGCUGGUACUAACUGGAACAUGUUCUACUUAGAUGCAAAAAAAUUAAAAGAUUCAAUUCCUGAUUUCAGGGAACUUUCUGGCCACAUGAUGAGUCAAAGCCCCCAAACCCACAUACUUGAGUCAAUUAAAGAAUCAAGUAAAGGUAAAUUAUUAAGAAGGAAAGCAAAGCACAUUUUGUGUUUCCCCCUAGAGAUUGUAUUCUCUUUAAGAGAAAAUAAGUCUUUUUUGUCCUUGUAUUAUUCAUGGCCCCAGAAGUGUUUUGGCUUAAAUAGGGUGUCAGUGAAGAUGUGACGAAUAAAUGAACGAGAGAAUGAAUAAUACAAACUCUCCUGGAGGGAAUGUCUAAAAAAGAGGGGAAAAAGUCCCCUGGCUUGGAUUUAUGAAUUUGAGGCAAGUAUAGAUCUUUUCUAAAAAUGUAUUUUUUUGCUCAGUCAUAACAACAAUAAUGAUCAUUUAAAAGGGAAAAAGGAGUUCCCGUUGUGGCUCAGCAGGUUAAGAACCUGACAUAGGGUCUGUGAGGACAGGAGUUUGCUCCCUGGCCUUGAUCAGGGGGUUAAGGAUCCAUCGUUGCCACAAACUGGCAUAGGUUGCAAAUGAGGCUCAGAUCUGAUUCCUGGCCCAGUAACUCCACACGCGGUGCGAGGCGGCCAAGAAAAAUAAAUUAAUUAAAAUAAAUUACAAAGUAAAAAGAACAAAGCAAAUAACCUACAGUCUGUGGACUCUUAAGCUGGAUUUUUGCAAAUGGGAAAGGCGGACAAAAGCUGGAGGAAUGACUGCAAGGAGGGAAGAUGCCUGAGAGGGAGUCUGGCAUCACAGCCCAUGUCUGUAUCCUACAAGAGGUGAACAAAUUUGAAGACUCAAAAGAUGUGGUUCCUACCCCCAAGGGGUUUCCAGUCUUUGGGGGAAAAAAUAAAAACAGUUUUUAAUAACCUUUAACUGGUUGUAUGCCCUUGGGCAAGUCCGUUCCCUCCCUGGUGUCCUUCAGCCUUCUGGCUCAAAAUUUCUCUGAUCUUUCAAUCCUACAAUCCUGGAAGCUUCCUGGAAUUGGUGGGCUAGGAGCUAGGCCUUGAAGGAAGGAGCAAGAUUUGGAGAAAAGAGCCAGUCCUGAGGUGGGCUGGAGUCUUCCAGCUGAGAUAAAAUGGGACAGGGUGCCUUGGCCUUCUUGAAGGAGAACUUUAAAAGCCAGGCUGGUUGACUUUUAAAUUUGACCUGAUAAGCAGGUCCUUGGGCUGGAGAUGAAAGGAGUGUCUCUGAGAGAUUAAUCUGAUGGCUCUGGGCCACUGAUCCUGGAUCUAUCUGGAAGUGGGGUGAAGACUUGGAGGUUCUCAGAGUGGCUUUUGCAAGAGUAAUGUGGGCCCAGCCUUUCAGAGAGGGUUUGAAGCGCCUUCUGUCAAUCAUAUGAUACACGUGGCUUCGGUAGAGUUUCAUUUUCCUUAACCACAAGUAGUUUAAACCUUUUUUUUUUUUUAUUAUUAUUAUUUUUAUUUUUAUCUUUUUGUGUUUUAGGGCCGCACAGGCCACAUAUGGAGGUUCCCAGGCUAGGGGUUGAAUUGGAGCUGUAACUGCCGGCCUACACCAGAGCCACAGCAACUUGGGAUUCAAGCCUCGUCUGUGACCUAUACCACAGCUCACAGCAAUGCCGGAUCCUUAACCCACUGAGCGAGGCCAGGGAUUGAACCUGCAUCCUUAUGGAUGCCAGUCGGGUUCAUUAACCGUUUAGCCACAACGGGAACUCCUAAACCAUUAUUUUUAUUCUCAUCUAAAAAAA